UACGGGGGGGGCAAGCGUUGUUCGGAAUUACUGGGCGUAAAGGGCCAGUAGGCGGCCAACUAAGUCGGAUGUGAAAUCCCCAGGCUUAACCUGGGAACUGCAUCCGAUACUGGAUGGCUUGAAUUCGGGAGAGGGAUGCAGAAUUCCAGGUGUAGCGGUGAAAUGCGUAGAUAUGUGGAGGAACACCAGUGGCGAAGGCGACUCUCUGGUCUGUAACUGACGCUGAGGCGCGAAAGCGUGGGGAGCAAACAGG
rnacentral:rRNA from 1 species